rnacentral:rRNA from 1 species
UACGUAGGGGGCAAGCGUUGUCCGGAAUCAUUGGGCGUAAAGAGCGCGUAGGCGGUCCGGUAAGUCCGCUCUGAAAGUCCGGGGCUCAACCCCGGGAGGCGGGCGGAUACUGUCGGGCUAGAGUCCGGAAGAGGCGAGUGGAAUUCCUGGUGUAGCGGUGAAAUGCGCAGAUAUCAGGAGGAACACCGAUGGCGAAGGCAGCUCGCUGGGACGGUACUGACGCUGAGGCGCGAAAGCGUGGGUAGCAAACAGG